rnacentral:rRNA from 1 species
UACGUAGGUGGCAAGCGUUUGUCCGGAAUUAUUGGGCGUAAAGAGCUCGUAGGCGGUUUGUUGCGUCGGCUGUGAAAUCCCGAGGCUCAACCUCGGGUCUGCAGUCGAUACGAGCAAACUAGAGUGUUGCAGGGGAGACUGGAAUUCCUGGUGUAGCGGUGAAAUGCGCAGAUAUCAGGAGGAACACCGGUGGCGAAGGCGGGUCUCUGGGCAACAACUGACGCUGGAGGAGCGAAAGCCGUGGGGAGCGAACAGG